CCCUGUACUUGUAAGUGAUUAUGGACUGCCUGUGUCCUGGUCAUUGGUAGUGCAGGCACAGGAAAUGUGGAAAGGGUUGGACCAUAUGCGGAAGAUCCAUGUCCUCCCCUUACAGUUCUGGGAGCCCUCCUCACC
rnacentral:snoRNA from 1 species